rnacentral:tRNA from 1 species
UCAUUAUGAAGCUUAAGUGAAGCAUAGAGCUUUUAACUCUGGGAUGCCUUAUCAUAAAGGCCGUAGUGAG